rnacentral:rRNA from 1 species
AAUCUUUGACGCAAAUUGCGCUCUUGGGUAGCCCUAGGAGCACGCCUCUCUCAGUAUCGGUUCAACAACCUCUCAGCAGCGUUCUUAUUCAUAUUUUAGGAAACGUGUUGGCUGGAUAAUGAGAGUCUGAGUGCCUUAAUACGACUCAGUCUCUUUAAAUACAUUGAGUGAGUAUCCAUCACAUGCCUACGCAUUCGACACUCGUUUAACGGGUGUCGAGCCAAGUCUCUGACUGGUCUGCUUUUAAGGGAAGUGACGUGAAUACUGGCCCUCUGUGGUCUUUUAAAAACAUUUACGUGUAACUUCUCCUUUUUAGUGACUAUUCCAAAGGUCUAGGACUUCUGGUGUCGUUUGGGAGCAGGUGGUACUUCGCGAUAAGCGGCGCAUAGCUGCAAUCGACUUUUUCAAUUUCUAAUUAAUUAAGAAGUCUGAAUUUUGAUCUGAGAUGAAGCGAGACAACCCCCUGAAUUUAAGCAUAUUAAUAAGGGGAGGAAAAGAAACUAACAAGGAUUCCCUUAGUAACGGCGAGUGAAGCGGGAAGAGCUCAAUUUGAAAAUCGUCUACCUAAGCGGGUCGACGAGUUGUAGCCUAGAGACGUACUAUCAGCUGGAACCUGGGUAUAAGUUCUUUGGAAUGAGGCAUCAUAGAGGGUGAGAAUCCCGUAUAUGACCCAAAGCUUUCAGCGUACGAUGUAUGUUCAUCGAGUCGAGUUGUUUGGGAUGC